UCGGGAAUCGUCUAACGGUAGGACGUCAGGUUCUGGACCUGAAUGUUGGGGUUCGAAUCCCUGUUCCCGAGCCA
rnacentral:tRNA from 1 species